GAAUAGCUCAGUUGGUUAGAGAGCGGCGCUUCUAACACCAAAGUUGCAGGUUCAAUCCCUGUAUGGGAUGACUGCAAUA